UACGUAGGGGGCAAGCGUUGUCCGGAUUUAUUGGGCGUAAAGAGCGUGUAGGCGGUCAAGUAAGUCUGCUGUGAAAACUCGAGGCUUAACCUCGAGCUGUCGGCGGAAACUAUUUGGCUAGAGUCCGGAAGAGGAGAAUGGAAUUCCCGGUGUAGCGGUGAAAUGCGCAGAUAUCGGGAAGAACACCCGUGGCGAAGGCGGUUCUCUGGGACGGUACUGACGCUGAGACGCGAAAGCGUGGGGAGCGAACAGG
rnacentral:rRNA from 1 species